rnacentral:rRNA from 1 species
UACGGAGGGGGCUAGCGUUGCUCGGAAUCACUGGGCGUAAAGCGCACGUAGGCGGCUUUCUAAGUCGAACGUGAAAUCCCCGGGCUCAACCCGGGAACUGCGUCCGAUACUGGAAGGCUUGAAUCCGGGAGAGGGAUGCGGAAUUCCAGGUGUAGCGGUGAAAUGCGUAGAUAUCUGGAGGAACACCGGUGGCGAAGGCGGCAUCCUGGACCGGCAUUGACGCUGAGGCGCGAAAGCCAGGGGAGCAAACGGG